UCUUUUCAUUUAGUAUAUUAAAGAAUAGUAUUUGUUGUUAUAGUGUACUAGUACUGUUAAGGAAGAUGAUGAAAUAAAUUAAAAAUUAUUUUUAUAAAAGUAUAUUUUAUUUAUAGUACCUUUUGUAUCAGGGUUAAUUAAUUAAUAUAAUUUAUAUUUUAUUCUCGAUUUCAAUUGAGCUAAAUUGUUUAAUUUUAGUUAUUGUGGAAUAAAUAUUAAUAAUAUAAUUUAGAGGAGAAACUUUAUUCGAUUUUGAAGGUAUCUAGUUUUUUAAGAAUUAAAUUUAAUUUAACUCCAAUUUUUAAUUGUUACAUUUAAUUAUACAUUAUUAGUUGGAAUAAAUAUUAUAGGGGAUAAGCUCUAUAUUUUUCUAUAAAAUUUUUAUUAAUGAAUUUUUGUAGGUUUAAAAUUAUCCAUCAUUAGUAAUUAUGUUGUAAUUUAUAUUUAAGUAAAAUUAAUUUUAUUUUUUUUUGAAAUUUAUUAAAAUGUCAGAAUUAAUUUUUUAUUCUGGGUAAUAAUGAUUAAAUUAGUAUAAAAUAAUGUUUGGUAUAUUACUAAUUAUAGUAUAAUAUAAGGAACUCGGCAAUUGGAAUUCUCGCCUGUUUAUCAAAAACAUGUCCUUUUGAGAAAUUAAUUGAAGGUCUGGCCUGCCCGGUGAAUUAUUUUAACGGCCGCGGUAUUUUGACCGUGCAAAGGUAGCAUAAUCAUUAGUCUUUUAAUAGAGGGCUGGAAUGAAAGGUUUAACGAGGAAUUAACUGUCUCAUAUUAUUUGUUUUAAAAUUUAAUUUUUUAGUUAAAAAGCUAAAAUAUUGCUGGAAGACGAGAAGACCCUAUAGAUCUUUACAUUAUUUUAUUUAAGUUAUAUUAUAUUAAUAUUUUUAAUUAAAUUAGUGUUUUGUUGGGGUGACAAGAAUAUACAAAUAACUUUUUUAUUUAAAAACCAUUGAUUUAUGAUUAUAUGAUCCAUUAUUAUUGAUUAUUAGAUUAAGUUACCUUAGGGAUAACAGCGUAAUCCUCCUCCAGAGUUCAUAUUUACAGGAUGGGCUUGCGACCUCGAUGUUGGAUUAAGACAAUAAUUAGGUGUAGCCGCUUAAUUUAUAGGUCUGUUCGACCUUUAAACUCUUACAU
rnacentral:rRNA from 1 species